AACUUGCUCAUCGCUUCAGUACAAAUACAAGCUCUCUUCGAAGCAACACGCGUUUUGUUUUCUAUCCUUGAAUUUCAAUAGCAUUUAAUUUUGUUUUCGAAUUUUUAUCAAAUGAACUCACCGAAUAUAUAGCCAAUAUGGAAUCGUUCACUGCGUUUGUACUUUAUUUUAUUAUAGCUUCGGUGGACGCGUUUGGAGGUACGAAUAUUUCACCCAUUUUGCACAAAGAAAACGGGCAAGAGAAAUUAUUUUCUUAGUAAACAAAGAAGCGCUAUGCAGAUGUUGUUCAAAUAUUAAUUGAUAAUAAUGCUGACACUAAAAUCAAGAACAACAAAGGAGCUACAGCACGUAGUUUUGCCGAAUCCCAAACUAAUUAUAAUAACACAUCAAUCGUAGACAUGUUGAAAACGAAAGAGAAUUAAAUGGAUAGUACUCAGAACAAAAGAAAUAAAAAUAGGUUCCAAUCUAUUGUCCGUCAAUUGUUAACGCUAUUUAUUAAGAUUCAAAAGAAAUUAAAAAAAAUGUAAAAUAAAGAAUAAACACAAUUAUCUUUGCACGG